CUGUGUGAGGGUACAUGACAGUGUUUCCUUUGAGAGAUUAGACAGAAAUAUUGACUCUUUUUGUGUGUGAUCCAUAUUUAUGAUGACUUAGGACUGCUUGUCGUAAUUCUUGUUUACACUUGUUUUUGUUUUUUUUAAAAGUUACUGGUCUAGGAUUUUAUUUAUUUAUUUAUUUUUUGCCUCUCUAAAUUGUGAUCGCCUGACUGCAGACUAAAAAGAGCUCAUCUGAUGCAGAUUUUGAGAAUCAACAUUUUCAAGGUUAUUGUAUUUUCUUCUCCCCUCAGAAUUGAGUGGUUUCAUAUUUAUUUCCCUCUGCUUGGUCUGAACAAGCACUUGACUGCUGGAGCUGUCAUGGUUCUUGGUUCUGACUGUCCAGUGUUUUUCCACUGCCAGAGCCAGGUGGAUGGGGGGAGCCUCUGGCACACACCUGUUUGGUAGCCUCAUGAGCUGACUAUUUAAGGAGAUGGAAGCUGGCCGCCGCAACGUUGCAUUCUGCUGGUUGUGCUGUUUGAUUGUGUGGUUGAUUUCCAUCACAGUUGUCUCUCUCAAUUUUCAGUCAGUCUUACUUGAUGCAGUGCGCCGCAGUGAGGACCCACUCAGAUGCAAUCAAGGUUCCCCCACAAACAUGACUCCAGCUCCCACUGCUGUCUGACUGAAGGGAAACCUGCACAACACAAUUACAUAGCAGGCAGACAGUAUGAAAUGCGUAAUUUUGAUCCAU